rnacentral:rRNA from 1 species
CUGCCCAGUGAUAUUUUUUUUAAAUGGCCGCAGUACCUUGACUGUGCUAAGGUAGCAUAAUCAAUUGGCUUCUAAUUAGAGUCUAGAAUGAAAGGAAUUAUGAGGUAAUUCUGUCUUAAAAGAUUUUUUUUUAAUUUAUUUAAAUGAUGAAAAUAUCAUUUUUUAGAAAAAAGACGAGAAGACCCUUAGAGUUUAAUUUUUUAAUUUUGUUGGGGCGACAAGUAAACAUUUUGAACUUUACUAAUUAAUUUAAUCGAUUUAUAAUAAAAAUAAAAAAACUACCUUAGGGAUAACAGCAUUAUAUUUUUAUAUGAUUGUGACCUCGAUGUUGGACUAGGAACUUUAUGGCUAGCCGUCAAAAAAGAUUUGUUCUGUUCGAACAAUAUUAUCCUACGUGAUCUGAGUUCAGACCGGA